AGUGGGGAAUAUUGGACAAUGGGGGAAACCCUGAUCCAGCGACGCCGCGUGGGUGAAGAAGGCCUGCGGGUUGUAAAGCCCUUUCGGUAGGGACGAAAGCUUCCGACCUAACACGUCGGAGGGUUGACUUAACCUACAGAAGAAGCACCGGCUAACUCUGUGCCAGCAGCCGCGGUAAUACAGAGGGUGCGAGCGUUAAUCGGAAUUACUGGGCGUAAAGCGCACGUAGGCGGCUUGGUAUGUCGGGUGUGAAAUCCCCGGGCUCAACCUGGGAACUGCAUCCGAAACUGCCUUGCUCGAGUAUGGGAGAGGGAAGUGGAAUUUCCGGUGUAGCGGUGAAAUGCGUAGAUAUCGGAAGGAACAUCAGUGGCGAAGGCGACUUCCUGGACCAAUACUGACGCUCAGGUGCGAAAGCGUGGGGAGCAAA
rnacentral:rRNA from 1 species